GCGGAUAUGACGAAACUGGUAGACGUAUUAGGUUUAGAUUCUAAUAAUUAAAAAUUAUGAGGGUUCGAAUCCCUCUAUCCGUA
rnacentral:tRNA from 1 species